AUAGGGUUCGUCGGUAAAAGUGUCGAAUUUGAGUGCAACCCAGAUACAGAAACGAAGACCUUGUAAGUUGGAAGAUACGGAAAAUGAUCGGAGAGAAUUGUUAGUGGUUCGGCGGAAGGCGGAGGAGCAAGGAGAGAAUGAUUUCUUGAACUUGGAGAAGAUCAACAUUGCUUAUGGGUAGCGUCAAUCAGAAUUCAUGGGCGGAGGAAGGGCGAGUAGCGGCGGAUUGCGGUCGUUUGUGUCGGCAGUGGCGCCACAUAUGCCUUGUUGUUUGUUCUUCAGGGUUUAAGGGUUUUGGCCAAGAAUUGACUUAGAAUGAAUACGGU
rnacentral:lncRNA from 1 species